rnacentral:lncRNA from 10 species
CAGGACCCCAGGCAAGCACCGUGGGUUGGGAACCAACCUGGUGGAAAACUAAAAUCAGCCCAUCUUCAGGUCUACCGCGGCGGAUGAAGCCUCACGCAGAACAGAUACAGUUGCUUGGCAAGCAGGGGGCUGCAGUUCUGCUCCACCUCUGGACUCCUGCCCCACAGGGGAGAAACCCUUUUUGAAAGCACCUGUGACAUAGUUCAAGAUCACCAAUGUCGGGCGAGGGUAGGACAUGCACCCUGGAGUCCAGCCAUACCUCAGCACAGCCCUCCUGCCCACAUCGCCAAGGCCCUGUCAGAGGCAUGACAAACAGCUUGGCUGAUGGCUUAUAAUGUCAAAGAUGAUGGAAACAGGGAGGCGACGGCUGAAAGAAUGGGUUGGGGACGCUUGUCAUAACUUUAUUUGUGGGAGACACACUGUCUACCUUGAUUCUCCAAACUGCCCUAAAAAGAACAUACAUUUUUACAGAGGAGGAAACCGAAGCUUGAAGAGGAGAAAUGACAUAUCCAAGUGCCCCAUGAAGGAGGACAAAAGCCCAGGAGGCAGCUGUCGCAUCAUCCUCUUCCUUUCCCUGCACAUCCGCUACAUCCCUUGGUCCUACUGAUUUCACCUGCCGUUUCCUCUAUGUCCAACGUUACUCAGUCCAAGUCCCCAAGCAUUUCCUGCCUCGACAGUUAUUCUACCCCAUCCUCCCCUGCUG